GAUGAAGAACGCAGCGAAAUGCGAUACGUAAUGUGAAUUGCAGAAUUCAGUGAAUCAUCGAAUCUUUGAACGCAUAUUGCGCUCUUUGGUAUUCCGAAGAGCAUGCUUGUUUGAGUAUCAAUAAACACCUCAACCUCUUCUUGAUUUUUCAAAAGGAGGGUGGACUUGAGCUAUCCCAACAACCUUUACCGGUCGGCGGGCGGCUUGAAAUGCAGGUGCAGCUGGACUUUUAUCUGAGCUAAAAGCAUAUCUAUUUAGUCCUCGUCAAACAGGAUUAUUACUUUUGCUGCAGCUAACAUAAAGGAUAAUUGUCCUCUUUGCUGACUGAUGCAGGAUUUUACGACACUUUAUGUGUUGUUCAACUCGAUCUCAAAUCAAGUAAGACUACCCGCUGAACUUAAGCAUAUCAAUAAGCGGAGGA
rnacentral:misc_RNA from 1 species